UGGGGAAUAUUGCACAAUGGGCGAAAGCCUGAUGCAGCAACGCCGCGUGAGGGACGACGGCCUUCGGGUUGUAAACCUCUUUUAGCAAGGAAGAAGCGAAAGUGACGGUACUUGCAGAAAAAGCGCCGGCUAACUACGUGCCAGCAGCCGCGGUAAUACGUAGGGCGCAAGCGUUAUCCGGAAUUAUUGGGCGUAAAGAGCUCGUAGGCGGUUUGUCGCGUCUGCUGUGAAAACCCGAGGCUCAACCUCGGGCCUGCAGUGGGUACGGGCAGACUAGAGUGCGGUAGGGGAGAUUGGAACUCCUGGUGUAGCGGUGGAAUGCGCAGAUAUCAGGAAGAACACCGAUGGCGAAGGCAGAUCUCUGGGCCGUAACUGACGCUGAGGAGCGAAAGGGUGGGGAGCAAACAAGCUUAGAUGACCCUGGUAGUCCACCCCGUAAACGUUGGGAACUAGUUGUGGGGUCCAUUCCACGGAUUCCGUGACGCAGCUAACGCAUUAAGUUCCCCGCCUGGGGAGUACGGCCGCAAGGCUAAAACU
rnacentral:rRNA from 1 species